rnacentral:hammerhead_ribozyme from 1 species
NUUGACGAGUCCCAAACAGGACGAAACGCGCGUCCUGGAU